AUUGAACGCUGGCGGCAGGCCUAACACAUGCAAGUCGAACGAGUGGCGGACGGGGGAGUAAUGUCUGGGAAACUGGCCGAUGGAGGGGGAUAACGACUGGAAAAGGUAGCUAAUACCGCAUACCAUCGGGUGGGCCCAGAUGGGAUUAGCGUGUUGGUGGGGUAAUGGCUCACGUAGGCGACGAUCCCUAGCUUGUCUGAGAGGAUGACCCGCCACACUGGAACUGAGACACGGUCCAGACUCCUACGGGAGGCAGCAGUGGGGAAUAUUGCACAAUGGGCGAAAGCCUGAUGCCGCCAUGCCGCGUGUAUGAAGAAGGCCUUCGGGUUGUAAAGUACUUUCAGCGGGGAGGCGUUACCCGCAGAAGAAGCACCGGCUAACUCCGUGCCAGCAGCCGCGGUAAUAC
rnacentral:rRNA from 1 species